rnacentral:rRNA from 1 species
AGUGAACGCUGGCGGUAGGCCUAACACAUGCAAGUCGAACGGCAGCACAGUAAGAGCUUGCUCUUACGGGUGGCGAGUGGCGGACGGGUGAGGAAUACAUCGGAAUCUACUUUUUCGUGGGGGAUAACGUAGGGAAACUUACGCUAAUACCGCAUACGACCUACGGGUGAAAGCAGGGGAUCUUCGGACCUUGCGCGAUUGAAUGAGCCGAUGUCGGAUUAGUUAGUUGGCGGGGUAAAGGCCCACCAAGGCGACGAUCCGUAGCUGGUCUGAGAGGAUGAUCAGCCACACUGGAACUGAGACACGGUCCAGACUCCUACGGGAGGCAGCAGUGGGGAAUAUUGGACAAUGGGCGCAAGCCUGAUCCAGCCAUACCGCGUGGGUGAAGAAGGCCUUCGGGUUGUAAAGCCCUUUUGUUGGGAAAGAAAAGCAGCAGGUUAAUACCCCGCUGUUCUGACGGUACCCAAAGAAUAAGCACCGGCUAACGUCGUG